ACCCAGCAGGCGGAGGUUGCAGUGAGCUGAGAUCGCCCUAUUGCACUCCAGCCUGGGCGACAGUGCCAGACUCCGUCUAAAAAAAUAAAUCAAGUUAUUCAUAUUUGCCUAACAGACCUCAAAACAAGAGGCCAGGAUUAAGUAUCAGAUUUUCUAGAGUUUUUCUAAACAUUUGGACUUAGACAUUCCAAGUAAAAAUAUGUUUUGUUGUGAACAAAAAUACACUGGCAUUGUUACCUAAGUGUAUUUCCAAGAUGUUGCCACGUAUGUUUUCUUAUUUACAGCUAGAGUUAAUUAUGAAAACUGUGGGGUUGGAGGCGAGGUGGAGGCGGCCGUUUGUUUUCUCGUGGUCUCCAGCUAGCGUGCUCGCUUCCCCUCCCCCGCGGCGUCUGGCGGGGUGGAGAAACGGUGGCAGUGGCAGCUGGAGCAGCAGAGGCUGGAGCAUCGGACACCCUCCUCCCACGAACCAGUUCCUCUUUCCACUCCUCGCUGUGUGUUUGAUGUAUUAAAGCAGGAGCAGGAAUGCGAGCAGCGCCAUGAGCAACACUACCAUCGUCCCCAGCACUGCGGGUCCGGGCCCCAGCGGCGGGCCUAGUAGCGGAGGUGGUGGCGGCGGUGGAGGCUGUGGCACUGAGGUAAUAGAUGACUAAUCUCCCCGAGCACUAGCUCUGAGCAGAUGCGGACUCUCUUCGGUUUCCUAGGCAAGAUCGAUGAACCACACCUCUUCCCGCUGGAUAAUUCCCCUUUGCCAAUCUCAGUCUUGUUAAGUUCCAUGAUCCAGACUCAGCAGUUGUGGCACCACGUCUGACACUGUGUUCCUUGACAGAGCUUUGAUAAUGUACCAUAUGCAGAAGGAGUCAUUCCUGAUAAGGCUAAGGCUUGCUUGUCUCUGUUGGCACCAGCUAAUGCAGUGGCAGGUCUUCUGCCUGGUGUUGGGCUCCUGCCUACUCCUAACCCACUUACUCAGACUGGCGCCGUUCCACCGGCUGCUUUGGGGGCUCCUACUCUUGGUCCUGCCCUUGCUGCCCUUGGGCUUCCUGGAGCAAAGAUGAACUCAGUCUGUUGCCACAGAUCAGUUGCUGAAGCUUAUAAGUACUGUUGAUCCCAAGUUGAAGCAUGUGGCUGCUGGUCUUGUUUCAGCAAGUCUGAAAUCGGAUACCUCUAGUAAAGAAAUAGAGGAAGAGGCCCUGCGUGUAUAAGAAGCACAGUCCCUAAUUUCGGCUGCUAUAGAACCAAAGAAGAAAGAAGGCAUUCAAGAUCAUCUUCUAAACACAGACAGUCAAGAAACAGAUCAAGAGAGCGAUCACAUUCUAAGUCUAGGAGUCACUGAUCCAAAAGCCCAAGACAGAGAAGAUCUCAUUCCAGAGAGAGAGAGGUAGAAGAUCAAGGAGCACAUCAAAAACGAGAGACAGAAAGAAGACGAAAGAAACGUUCUAAAACGCCACCAAAAAAUUACAGCAGAGCCAGACAUUGUAGAAGUACAAACAGAGACGACAACGAAGAAGCAGGAGUGGAACAAGAUCUCCCAAAAAGUCGCAGUCUCCUAAAAGAAAAUUGUCUCUCUCACCAUCCCCUGGGAGACAUAAAAAGAAGAAGAAAGAUAGUAGGGAUGAAAGAGUAGGGAGAAAGAUAGUAGGGAUGAAAGAGAACGAUCAACAAACAAGAAGAAGAGUAAAGAUAAGGAAAAGGAUCAGGAAAGAAAAUCAGAGAGUGAUAUAGAUGUAAAAGUUACACGGGUUUAUGAUGAAGAGGAACCGGGUUAUGACAGUGAGAAAGAGGAAAAAAGAAGAGAAGAAAGCAAUAGAAGCAGGUUCCCCUAAAACAAAGAAAUGUUCUGUGGAAAAGGGAACUGAUGAUUCACUAAGAUAAUCCAAAGUGAAUGGGAAUGAUCAUCAUGAAGAAGACAUGGAUAUGAGUGACUGAAUAUUGCCUCUAUGGGAAUCCAACUGUAUACAUGCAUCAGUGUCAUUCCUUUGUGUGAUUUCUGAAUGCUGUAUUUGUUCAUCUCAAACCUAGAUGUAUACAGCUCUGAGUUAUUAAUGGCUAUAAAGCUCCUGUUAUUGAUACUAAUUUACAUCAAAAAGCUUUUAGAAAAUGGUAUGACAUAAGCAAUUCUUGUCAUGGUAACAUCUGAUGGAGUAACCAAACAGUUUUACUCUUGGUGCUGCUUCAUAACAGAAAUGAAAAGCUGCAUGCUCCUGCAGCAGGAAUGGAUUGUUUAUGUCAUAUAAUUUCCUUUAUUAAGUUCACUUAUAGUACUUCUAGAAUGUUAUGCAUCGGGUUAAUAGAGCCAUGUAGGAAAUGCACUGAUUGCAUGUUAUUGUGGCAAGAAUAUCCUAAAUGUCAUUAAAAUCCUCCAACAUGAUG